UGAGGUGGUGCCAGUUCGAACUGGACCCGUUUACAUAUUUGGGAGGAAGUUUCGGUUUCAGUGCCAGGACAGGUUAAUAUGAAGAUUGCAAGACGAAGUUAUCAAAACGAUCAGAAAGUAACUUUAUUAGUAGAAAUAAUUAUAUUUCAAUUUUUGGUAAAGUUCGUUAGUGUUAACGAAAGUUAUUUUGGAACUCUUAUAUUUGUAUUUUGUGCGUUCCUGCUCCCGCGUUGAAUGAUGCGUUUACUGUGCAACGGUCGCUUGCUUAGCAGCGUGCUUGUACAGCGAUUUUUGCCCGUUAUGUUCUUAGCGUGAUGUGUGACAUAGGCGUUGGUUUUAUAAUCUAAAUGAUUUGUCUGCAAGUUACGACAGUGCGACAGUACAAUGAGCGCCAGCGGCUGGCGGGUGGGUGUUAUAGGAUUGCAGCUUGACUACAACUGUGGAGACCGCUUUAUAUCAAACCUUAAGCUGCUGGGGCUCAAAGGAAAAUAUCGAUCCAUUAUGUGCUAUUAAGAACAUCUCAAAUACUUUGUUGAAUGAUUCAAGAUGUCCACAAGGCAGUCAAGCAAGGGACCAAUCAACCAUGAAUUCUUUGGAUCUGCCGUUGCUGGGAGCAGCAAUCCUACAAAGGGGCACCGGUUACAUACAAGCUAACCUCUGUCCGAACAGGCCGCUCUAAGUGAAGGCACUUCAACCGG